GGCGCACGGGUGCGUAACACGUAUGCAACCUACCCUUUACAGGGGGAUAGCUCAGAGAAAUCUGAAUUAAUACCCCAUAGUUACAUUUUGCUGCAUGGUAAGAUGUAUAAGGCUCCGGCGGUAAAGGAUGGGCAUGCGUUACAUUAGCUAGUUGGUGAGGUAAUGGCUCACCAAGGCUACGAUGUAUAGGGGUUCUGAGAGGAUGAUCCCCCACACUGGUACUGAGACACGGACCAGACUCCUACGGGAGGCAGCAGUAGGGAAUAUUGGACAAUGGACGCAAGUCUGAUCCAGCCAUGCCGCGUGCAGGAUGACAGCCCUCUGGGUUGUAAACUGCUUUUAUAUGAGAAGAAACCCUCAGAUGCGUUUGAGGCUGACGGUAUCAUAUGAAUAAGGAUCGGCUAACUUCGUGCCAGCAGCCGCGGUAAGACGAAGGAUCCAAGCGUUGUCCGGAUUUACUGGGUUUAAAGGAUGC
rnacentral:rRNA from 1 species